GUGGGGAAUCUUGCGCAAUGGGCGAAAGCCUGACGCAGCCAUGCCGCGUGGAUGAUGAAGGUCUUAGGAUUGUAAAAUUCUUUCACCGGGGACGAUAAUGACGGUACCCGGAGAAGAAGCUCCGGCUAACUUCGUGCCAGCAGCCGCGGUAAUACGAAGGGGGCUAGCGUUGCUCGGAAUUACUGGGCGUAAAGGGCGCGUAGGCGGACAGCUUAGUCAGAGGUGAAAGCCCAGGGCUCAACCUUGGAAUUGCCUUUGAUACUGGCUGUCUUGAGUUUGGGAGAGGUGAGUGGAACUCCGAGUGUAGAGGUGAAAUUCGUAGAUAUUCGGAAGAACACCAGUGGCGAAGGCGACUCACUGGCCCAAUACUGACGCUGAGGCGCGAAAGCGUGGGGAGCAAACAGGAUUAGAUACCCCUGUAGUCC
rnacentral:rRNA from 1 species